GCAAACCCUAGCGCGGCGGCCGAUGCUAGGCGGUAGCGGCGGCGCCUCUCUCGCGACCUGGACCUCUAGCAGCGGAGCCAUCCGUGCCUUGCCAGCUCACUUUGUAGUCUCUAGGCGAGCUGCCAUCAGAGGUUAUAUGGAUUUGUGAUUAGUUCUUCUCAGGAUCUUUGUAUAUUGGCUUUGGAGUCUUGACUAUGCCCAGGUGCCUUCAUAUUUUAUCAUUUGAUGAUUACAAUUAUGAAGUGCGAUUUGCUAUUUAUUUUGAAGAAAUAGCAAUGCCUAAUUUGUUCUGGGCAUAAUUUUCUAUCAGUAUGUAGCUGAUCAUAUCAUUAUUAUUUGUUACAUAGGAAAUCUUUAGCUUCUCCUGAUCACACCAUUUUUAUUUAUGUGUAUAUUGUACACAACAAGUCUUUGACUUCUCCAACCACUAAGUACUGAAGUUUCUGUAUGUAAGGAUUGCUCCUUGGUCAAUAUUUGAUUACCACAGAUAGUUGAGCAGUGCACGACUACACGAUUAGAAUUUUACUCACAGGAGGCUAAAGACGAAAAUUUAGUUCGCCUUUGUCAAAUAUGUAAAUUUAAUUCACCUUUGUCAAAUACGUAGAGCAAAACUUACUCCUAUAAAUCAUACAUUUGUAUUGCACUAGACUUUGACCUUGUGUUCCAUGUUCCAUGUUAUUGCAUGCCCAUACAUCUUUUCUCCAAGCUUUUUUGGAAGCUUAAAAUAUUACCCCUCAAAGGUUUAUCGUACCAGGUAGCUUAUUUUGAGGCAUGCAACGUUUGAUUUUAACACAAUAUAUGUUUCAUUGCACAUACUAUUUUGACUUGUUUGCCAUUGUAUACAUAACAUGAUAGAAUUUCAGUAAAUUCUCUUAUCCAAACAUUUCCCAUUUCCAAAUGUGUAAAGAUAUCUUUCCCAACAUGUUCUCAGUAAUCAGCAGUGGGAAUAAGCCCUUCCAGUACUUUUCGCCAAACAAUGUUUUGGAGUAAUUGUUCUUUCUCGGUGCAGUAGCAAGAGUUAACUAGAGAAGCAGACAAGUUGCUAAUUUGUAUGUUCUCAGCUGAGAUGAAUAUUAUAUCUAGGUCUGAUUCUCCAAAACAGAAAUAUUUUGAAAAAUGAUCCCAGGAUUGAAUACUAAAAAAGAGCCGUAUAUAUUAAUGCUUUGAUUUGCAACCUAUUGCACAUAUAUAGUUGGUAGAUCAUUGUCCUGUUGGAUAUAUAUGAGGGUGAUCUUCAGGUGUACUCUAAGGCAAGCAAGUUAUUGUGAAAUGCAUGAUUCUGUGGUAAUAUGGAUGCAUAUCAUAUAACUUCAUUAUUUUAGAUAUGAGAGAACACAUUCAUUUUUAUUUGAUGGAGGGUUUGGUUUCAAUAUAUCAAUGUCAUGCCGAAGGAUUUCUAACAUAGGCGCAGUCUUAGGCGAAGGAAAAUAAAGAAUGAUCCAACAAUCAUACUUCCCAUACAUACACGUCAAAUCCAAGCUCCAACUAAUUGUUUGAUCAGUGAUAGAUAAACACAGCAUUCUGACCAUUCUAUUGUCAAAAUGAUAGGCACGGCGAUGGAAUGUGAUUAGAAGUAUGUGCUUGCUUUGUCAUGAAGAGCCAAUAUAAAGUACUAGUUGGUCCAUCAGUUGACAACAGAACUCCUACGCUUGUCAAAUUAAUUAGUGUUAUUAACAUAGUUUCAGUUUAGAACUUCUGCAUUUUUGGUUAUCUCUUCUUAUUGGGGGUGGGGGGAUUACUUUCCAUUUUGACGAGUACCUUAAAUGACCACUCGUUUGUGAAAUCAUUCUCUUUUAGAAAGCCAUGUUUUGCGUACGGUUUCAUCCCUGAGGUCAAUUGCCUCAAGCUGCUUCCGACCGUUAUUCAUAUGUGUGAGAGCGUAAGUAUGAACCUGUGUGAUACACAUCUGGUAGGACAAGUGAACACAAAACUUGAGUCAUAAGUUGAUCCAUGGCCAUAGUUACCAAUAAUUCAAGGUGGGCACCUAAAUCGCUCUUGAUGUGAUUAAAUUCACCUUUUGUUAAUAUUGUCAUAUUGAUAUGUUAUUUCUGCUCUUCGCACUUCUAUUUAGAUUUUUUGUGAUUUCUUGAGGAUUAUAAAGGAGAUGGUGCCCAUGGGUUCUGCUAGGUCAGUCAUUAUUGAAAUUUUUUGCGUUAUUUGGGAUCAAUUAUAACAAGACAAUUGGAUAUGGUUUAUAAAAACUCAUAUUUUAUUUAUUUAAUAUUCUUCCACCUGACUCUGUUUAUCUAUGCAUGUAUUGUUCUGUCCUUUUGGUAAGGAUGGCAUCAAUUGCGAGAUAAUGGUUAUGCAAGGCGUCAAUGCUAGAUGAUGGUAGUCUUCUGUAUACUGGUUGGGGCCUUUUUUGCUGCAGGAGUAGAUGCACUAACCUCGGAAUUGGAUUAGGUUUUGCUCACAUGCAUGACACAGACAAUACAAAUUUUUGAGGGUGUUGAAGAUGCUUGCCAUUUCCUGAGCGCUAUUCAUGCUACUCCAUACGAUUUCAUACGAGCUAUGUUGCCAUCAUUAGUAUGCAUGUAAUUUCUUGAAAAGUGUAAUUUUAAUAAGAAAAUAUUUAUUUGUUCAAUUUCUUUUCAUUUUCUAUACUAACUUGAUAGAAGUCAAGUGUAGAAGAAGAAAACAAAUCAUCUACCCAAGUC